rnacentral:lncRNA from 1 species
CUAGCAGACAAAUCAAACAUCACAUCCAGCAGCUAAUGAGAUAUUCUAGAUGUUAAAAAAAUAAAAUAAAAUUCUUAAAUAACUCUAUAAUGCACGGAGAAGUUAUUCUUCCAUUACGCGGUUCUUCUACACAUGUAGUUUCCUAAAAAGUUAACAUUAUUAUGCGAUGAUAACAUUCGGAACCAUCCAUCCAGAGUACAUUAUGCUGAGAAACUUUUGUUACAGGCACAACUGAGGCAUUUAAUAGCUUUUUUGUAUUAAGUUUGAUGGAGAAAAUAUUUUUAUCAGCAAUAAUGGUAAGAGAACCAGUUUGUCUGUCAUAUGAUAAACUUCAACUUUUGUUAAACACAAGAAAAGCCACUCAUUCUCUAUUUGAAAUUGUUCAAUGGCAGGGUGUUGCUUGGAUUCAUAUUGUAGUAAUGUAAUGCCACAUUGCAACACUUAACUUUCAUUUUCGUGUUCUUGAAAGUGUGAUCCUAAGCUGCAUUCAGAGUUUGACGACCUCUUAUUGGUUAAAAUAGGCUUUAUGCAGGCAGAUGUUAAGAAGUUAUUGUUGGUUAAUGAACUUUAAUCAUCACAAUAGGAAAUUAAUUUUCCUUUGAAGAUUAAAAUCAUGUAAAUAAAGAUUUAAUUGACCUUGA